AGAGUUUGAUCCUGGCUCAGGACGAACGCUGGCGGCGUGCCUAACACAUGCAAGUCGAGCGGAGACAGUGAGUAGCUUGCUAUGAGCUGUUUUAGCGGCGGACGGGUGAGUAACGCGUGAGCAACCUUUCCCAGACAGGGGAAUAACACACCGAAAGGUGUACUAAUACCGCAUAAGACCACGGGAUCACAUGGUUCUGAGGUAAAAGAUUUAUCGGUUUGGGGUGGGCUCGCGUCCGAUUAGGUAGUUGGUGAGGUAACGGCCCACCAAGCCGACGAUCGGUAGCCGACCUGAGAGGGUGAUCGGCCACAUUGGGACUGAGACACGGCCCAAACUCCUACGGGAGGCAGCAGUGGGGAAUAUUGGGCAAUGGGGGAAACCCUGACCCAGCAACGCCGCGUGAGGGAAGAAGGUUUUCGGAUUGUAAACCUCUGUCCUCAGGGACGAAGGAAGUGACGGUACCUGAGGAGGAAGCCCCGGCUAACUACGUGCCAGCAGCCGCGGUAAUACGUAGGGGGCAAGCGUUAUCCGGAUUUACUGGGUGUAAAGGGAGCGCAGGCGGUGCGGCAAGUCUGAUGUGAAAGCCCGGGGCUCAACCCCGGUACUGCAUUGGAAACUGUCGUACUAGAGUGUCGGAGGGGUAAGCGGAAUUCCUAGUGUAGCGGUGAAAUGCGUAGAUAUUAGGAGGAACACCAGUGGCGAAGGCGGCUUUCUGGACGACAACUGACGCUGAGGCGCGAAAGUGUGGGGAGCAAACAGGAUUAGAUACCCUGGUAGUCCACACUGUAAACGAUGAAUGCUAGGUGUAGGGGGUAUCGACCCCUUCUGUGCCGGAGUAAACACAAUAAGCAUUCCGCCUGGGGAGUACGGCCGCAAGGUUGAAACUCAAAGGAAUUGACGGGGGCCCGCACAAGCAGCGGAGCAUGUGGUUUAAUUCGACGCAACGCGAAGAACCUUACCAGGUCUUGACAUCCACUUAAAGCCAUAGAGAUAUGGUGUGAGCUUGCUCGAAGUGAGACAGGUGGUGCAUGGUUGUCGUCAGCUCGUGUCGUGAGAUGUUGGGUUAAGU
rnacentral:rRNA from 1 species